rnacentral:rRNA from 1 species
UACGUAGGGUGCGAGCGUUACUCGGAAUUACUGGGCGUAAAGUGUGCGCAGGUGGCUUCGCAAGUCGAGUGUGAAAUCCCCGGGCUUAACCUGGGAAUUGCGCUCGAAACUACGGAGCUGGAGUAUGGCAGAGGGAGGUGGAAUUCCACGUGUAGCGGUGAAAUGCGUAGAGAUGUGGAGGAACACCAAUGGCGAAGGCAGCCUCCUGGGCCAAUACUGACACUCAUGCACGAAAGCGUGGGGAGCAAACGGG